rnacentral:rRNA from 1 species
GAUGAACGCUAGCUACAGGCUUAACACAUGCAAGUCGAGGGGCAGCAUGGUCUUAGCUUGCUAAGGCCGAUGGCGACCGGCGCACGGGUGAGUAACACGUAUCCAACCUGCCGUCUACUCUUGGACAGCCUUCUGAAAGGAAGAUUAAUACAAGAUGGCAUCAUGAGUCCGCAUGUUCACAUGAUUAAAGGUAUUCCGGUAGACGAUGGGGAUGCGUUCCAUUAGAUAGUAGGCGGGGUAACGGCCCACCUAGUCUUCGAUGGAUAGGGGUUCUGAGAGGAAGGUCCCCCACAUUGGAACUGAGACACGGUCCAAACUCCUACGGGAGGCAGCAGUGAGGAAUAUUGGUCAAUGGGCGAGAGCCUGAACCAGCCAAGUAGCGUGAAGGAUGACUGCCCUAUGGGUUGUAAACUUCUUUUAUAAAGGAAUAAAGUCGGGUAUGGAUACCCGUUUGCAUGUACUUUAUGAAUAAGGAUCGGCUAACUCCGUGCCAGCAGCCGCGGUAAUACGGAGGAUCCGAGCGUUUAUCCGGAUUUAUUGGGUUUAAAGGGAGCGUAGAUGGAUGUUUAAGUCAGUUGUGAAAGUUU